GGGGAUUUAGCUCAGAGGUGGUAGAGCGCUUGCCUAGGAAGCGCAAGGCCCUGGGUUCAAUCCCCA
rnacentral:tRNA from 1 species